rnacentral:ncRNA from 1 species
GCAUUUGCCAAGGAGGAUGUUUUGAUGUUUUCAUUUCAUUAAUCAAGAACGAAAGUUGGGGGCUGGAAGCCGAUCAGAUACCGUCCUAGUCUCAACCAUAAACGAUGCCGACCAGGGAUCGGCGGAUGUUGCUUAUAGGACUCCGCCGGCACCUUAUGAGAAAUCAAAGUCUUUGGGUUCCGGGGGGAGUAUGGUCGCAAGGCUGAAACUUAAA